GCGGAAUGCAGCUGAUCAUACAAGCCUAUUUAGAUACGUUUACUCACAUAUCUUUGUACUCCACGACCACGACAAAUGUUUUAAGGGUACCGUCGUAAAUCGGGCAUUCCCCUCUUUGCUUCUUUGGAUGGAGGGUCACUUGAAAUUUCGCUAAUUAGUCCCUUUAAAAGAUUUUAUUCUUAUCCAAAAAAUCGUUUAGUUGCCAGGAGGGAGUAAGGUAUCCGAGGAAGUGGGUGAAUUGAAAAAGUUAAGACCUGUGAAAUGCGAAAAAGAGGUAAACAUGGUUAGUGAAGAACUUGAUGCUUAUUUUUCAAACAAUACAGAAGACAAAGAUGAUUAUGAUGAUGAUGAUGAUGAUGAUGAUCAUGAUCAUGAUGAUGACUUUUCAAGAUGUACCCUGUCAAUAUUCACAACCUUUCUUUGCGUUGCAUUUAUAACUAAGACCGCUAGGCUGGUAAAACAUGAGAGAGAAAUGCAAAUAUUUAUUAGUACAGAAGAAAGCAAGAUACUGGAUGAGGGAGGGAUAAAGCUAGGACCAACUAAACCUUAUAUUCCACAACCUGACAAGGAUUUGAACGAGGUUUAUACAGA